GGUGCCAUCGUAUAGUGGUUAGUACAGCGUGUUGUGGCCGCGCAAACAUGGGUUCGAUUCCCAUUGGCGCCA
rfam:Rosellinia necatrix DNA, scaffold: Contig4, strain: W97.